AUGUUAAUUAAAGGUAAGAGGCCAAUGAUUGCAAGCUAAAUUAAAAUGCUUGAAGGCUUCAUCAAGCUCACAUUGAAGAUAAUAAAACUAAUUCUACAUUGAAGGCUUCAUCAAGCUUUCCUUUUUAAAUUCAUGCCUCAAAAUGAGACUUUUGGUUUUCCUUCAGAAAUUUAAGGGUGCUUUAUUUUAUCUUUUUUUUGUUAAUCUGCUACUUAUUUCAGUCUCUUGUCCAAAUGCAAUAUGUUACUUCAGCCAUUAAUGCUUUACAAUUUUAUGCAAAUGUUCAGCCAACCAUAAGGGGGAGGAAUGUUUAUGUCCAGUUUUCCUCACAUCAAGAACUAACAUCAAUGGAUCAAAAUCAAGGGCGUGGAGAUGAGGAUGGCAUUUUAGAGUUCUCAUGUUUAAGUUAAAAGUUAUUACUGAAAGUUCAUGGUGUCAAUCGAUAAUUGAUCCAUGUAACGACUCAUAUGGUAGUAUAUAUUUUGAUAAAUAGACUUAUGAAUAAGUUAUCUGUGCUUGGAUACAUGGUUACAUUAGUGCUUGUUUUGAGUGUUUUAAAAUAUGCUUCUUAAGAAGCUAGAUAAUUUAUUGUGUAGUGGAAUGUAGCUUCUGUUUCUAUAUAUUAUGUAUAAGCAAUUGCCCUGUAUAA